AACCGGAGGAAGGUGUGACGACGUCAAGUCAGCAUGCCCCUUACGCCCUGGGCUACACACGUACUACAAUGCUACGGACAGAGGGUUGCGAGCUAGCGAUAGCAAGCUAAUCCCGUAAACCGUGGCUCAGUUCAGACUGCAGGCUGCAACUCGCCUGCAUGAAGGCGGAAUCGCUAGUAAUCGCAGGUCAGCAUACUGCGGUGAAUACGUUCCCGGGCCUUGUACACACCGCCCGUCACACCAUGGGAGUUGGCCACGCCCGAAGUCAUUACUCCAACCCUUCGGGGAGGAGGAUGCCGAAGGCAGGGCUGAUGACUGGGGUGAAGUCGUAACAAGGUAGCCGUACCGGAAGGUGUGGCUGGAUCACCUCCUUUUAGGGAGACCAAACCUCAAGAAAGAAACACUUAAGGCAAGCAGAUUCAAACUUGCUUAACCUUGGGAAUUAUAUUGAUAUUCUUUCUUUAGGUCAUCCCAAGGUCGUUCGAGGUUAUGAUAUCAAGGCUUUCAAACUAUUUGGGUUUGGUAAACGCGAAAUUCAGCAAGCAAAAAGCUUCACAGUUCAGCCUUGCCUAUUAGCAUCACCCCUACCCAUGGGCUAUUAGCUCAGGUGGUUAGAGCGCACCCCUGAUAAGGGUGAGGUCCCUGGUUCGAGUCCAGGAUGGCCCACCUUAGAGACUUAAGAUUUUAGAUUUGAUAUCUUUUUUAGUAAAGGCAACAGAACUAGAAUCUAAGCCGAAGCUGGGGGUAUAGCUCAGUUGGUAGAGCGCUGCCUUUGCAAGGCAGAUGUCAGCGGUUCGAGUCCGCUUACCUCCACUGACACACAGAAAAACCAUCGUCUUAGAAAGGAUAUUCAGCACCUCAUCUAACUUAUUUAGAGAGCUUGCUGGAAUACAUCCAGCCAGAACCUUGAAAACUGCAUAGCAACUAGAAAGGUAGAACCUUGUCAUGCAUAGCGAACUGCAAGUACUAGAGUAAUAUCUAGUCGAGUAGCUAGCCAUGCAUCUGAGACAAGACUAUCACAGACACUAGCGUAAAAAGAAUGAAUUGUGGUCAAGCUACAAAGGGCUUAUGGUGGAUACCUWGGCACACAGAGGCGADG
rnacentral:sRNA from 1 species